rnacentral:rRNA from 1 species
GACGAACGCUGGCGGCGUGCCUAAUACAUGCAAGUUGAGCGCUGAAGGUUGGUACUUGUACCAACUGGAUGAGCAGCGAACGGGUGAGUAACGCGUGGGGAAUCUGCCUUUGAGCGGGGGACAACAUUUGGAAACGAAUGCUAAUACCGCAUAAAAACUUUAAACACAAGUUUUAAGUUUGAAAGAUGCAAUUGCAUCACUCAAAGAUGAUCCCGCGUUGUAUUAGCUAGUUGGUGAGGUAAAGGCUCACCAAGGCGAUGAUACAUAGCCGACCUGAGAGGGUGAUCGGCCACAUUGGGACUGAGACACGGCCCAAACUCAUACGGGAGGCAGCAGUAGGGAAUCGUCGGCAAUGGACGAAAGUCUGACCGAGCAACGCCGCGUGAGUGAAGAAGGGUUUCGGAUCGUAAAACUCGGUUGGUAGAGAAGAACGUUGGUGAGAGUGGAAAGCUCAUCAAGUGACGGUAACUACCCAGAAAGGGACGGCUAACUACGUG